GCAGCACUCACUGGAAGCACAGCACAGAAGCCAAAGGAACCAUCUACUCCUCCGGCACUGCAAGUAAUGUCUACCUGUGCCAUCGUAGAAACGGACUUCUAACAUUGUUUUUCAAAGGUCUCCACUUCUCUCAAAGUCUGGCAAAUGUUGGAACUUUCCUGUUCUACGUAGGAGCCUGCAUGCCCCAUGUCUCUCCUUUGCUAAUGCUUUGGGAACACACCUUGCUUCAGAGGACAUGGCAGGCUGGAGUAUUAACUGGAGCUGUGACAGAGCAGGCUUUCAAUACAGUGUGGACUGUGCCAUCACCUAUGCUCACAACAUUUUUAAUGAGAAAUAACAAAACGACUCCAGGU
rnacentral:lncRNA from 1 species